GAUGAACGCUGGCGGCGUGCCUAAUACAUGCAAGUCGAUCGAACAGACGAGGAGCUUGCUCCUCUGACGUUAGCGGCGGACGGGUGAGUAACACGUGGAUAACCUACCUAUAAGACUGGGAUAACUUCGGGAAACCGGAGCUAAUACCGGAUAAUAUAUUGAACCGCAUGGUUCAAUAGUGAAAGACGGUUUUGCUGUCACUUAUAGAUGGAUCCGCGCCGCAUUAGCUAGUUGGUAAGGUAACGGCUUACCAAGGCGACGAUGCGUAGCCGACCUGAGAGGGUGAUCGGCCACACUGGAACUGAGACACGGUCCAGACUCCUACGGGAGGCAGCAGUAGGGAAUCUUCCGCAAUGGGCGAAAGCCUGACGGAGCAACGCCGCGUGAGUGAUGAAGGUCUUCGGAUCGUAAAACUCUGUUAUUAGGGAAGAACAAAUGUGUAAGUAACUAUGCACGUCUUGACGGUACCUAAUCAGAAAGCCACGGCUAACUACGUG
rnacentral:rRNA from 1 species